UUAGUAACGGCGAGUGAAGCGGCAAAAGCUCAAAUUUGAAAUCUGGUACCUUCGGUGCCCGAGUUGUAAUUUGGAGAGGGCAACUUUGGGGCCGUUCCUUGUCUAUGUUCCUUGGAACAGGACGUCAUAGAGGGUGAGAAUCCCGUGUGGCGAGGAGUGCGGUUCUUUGUAAAGUGCCUUCGAAGAGUCGAGUUGUUUGGGAAUGCAGCUCUAAGUGGGUGGUAAAUUCCAUCUAAAGCUAAAUAUUGGCGAGAGACCGAUAGCGAACAAGUACAGUGAUGGAAAGAUGAAAAGAACUUUGAAAAGAGAGUGAAAAAGUACGUGAAAUUGUUGAAAGGGAAGGGCAUUUGAUCAGACAUGGUGUUUUGUGCCCUCUGCUCCUUGUGGGUAGGGGAAUCUCGCAUUUCACUGGGCCAGCAUCAGUUUUGGUGGCAGGAUAAAUCCAUAGGAAUGUAGCUUGCCUCGGUAAGUAUUAUAGCCUGUGGGAAUACUGCCAGCUGGGACUGAGGACUGCGACGUAAGUCAAGGAUGCUGGCAUAAUGGUUAUAUGCCGCCCGUCUUGAAACACGGACCAAA
rnacentral:rRNA from 1 species